GCUUUACACUAAGGGAUUUUAUAUUUUUUCAUUUUUCAUUUUCUUUUCAUUCUAACUCAAAAAUCUCACUCUUAUCUCCAUACUCUCUCGUCUUCUUCGUAUCAUUUUCUUCUCCGCCGCUAUCAACAACAAUCACCCUAAAUCAUGCUCACACUCAGAAUCGACCAAGACCCACAUGCAAUCUCACACCGUUUUUGUUGGUCUUUCAUCGUUUCUAACUACACAGCGAGAAGUGGUCUUUCAUCAGUUUCAAUUUCCAAUUUCCUUUUGAUUACCUUAUUGCAAUCUGAGAUCUUGCGAUUUCGUUUUUUUUAUUCUCUCAACAUUUUCCUUCACCUAUGGUUACUAUCAUUCAAGCGAAGUUGGAUUUGACCCAGCGACUAUUGUUGUUAGAGUUCAAUUUUAUCGUAAAUUCUGGUUUGCGUCAUCUUCCCCAAUUUCUAGGGUUCUUGAUUUUUUAUAUUGUUCAGGGUUCUGCAGAUUCGGUGAAUAAAUCAAAAUAGAAGAUUCAAUCGCGGCUGAUGAUUCCGUCGACGAGCUCGAUAGCUACAUGUUCCAAACGAUUUGAAUCUUUUCCAUCUUGAUCCUCUUGCUCUUUAUUGGGUCUUUUGUCAUGAUCGCAUUUUCUUCUUAUUUGCUUUGGUAAUUUUUUAGAUUGAUUUAGUUUAUUAUUUAGGGAUUUUGAUUGUUUGAGUUAAAAAAAUAGAUAUGUGGUCCAUGCCUUGUAUGGUCUAAGAUUUGUUAGAAUAAUAUUAGUGUUGUAUACACAGUUUCUGAUUCUUACUCUCUUCUUUACUUCAUGGGGAUUACCACUGCAUCCUCUGAGAUUGAAACUGAUAGUAAUUUUGAAGUUCAUGUGUUCUCUUCAUCAUCUGAGGUGAGAUUUCUAAGCCUCACUUUUUUUACAAUCUUUGAUUACCUAACACAAUCUAUAAGUUGAAGUUUUACACUUUUCAUUAGCUUUGAAUUCUUCAGUUACUAGAAAAGCUUCAUCAAACAUGGAGUUUAGUGGAGAAACAACCCUAUCCGGCUAUGUAUUCUAGUGUCUAUGGAGGUAUCAUACUUGAUCCAGCAAUGAUGGUCAUCCCUAUAGAUGAUCACAUGGUACAUGGAGGCCAUGGUGUCUUUGAUACUGCUAUUAUUUUACAAGGGUGUUACUAUUUAUUUUUUUUGUUAUUCAUGUAUUGAACAUAAUCGAUCGGAUAGCACCCGAGUUCGACUUCGGUUUUGAACAUUUUUUGUCAGACUUUACUGACUUCUUUGAUCUCGGUGUUUAUAUUGUUUGUUUUCUCAAGAUAUCUCUAUGAGCUGGAUGUUCACCUCGAUCGUUUCUUGAGAUCGGCUUCCAAAGGAACAUUAAGAUAAUGGCUAAGUGCAGGUCCUGGUGAUUUCUUACUGUCAUCAUCAGGAUGUCCGAAAUCUGCAUUAUAUGCAGUAGUCAUUGGCCAUGAUUAUUCUCAGUGCAAAGAAGGUGUCAAAGUGAUUACUUCCAAUGUACCAAUGAAGGCACCGUCAUUUGCGACAAUGAAAGACGUGAACUAUCUUCCUAAUGUACUUUCAGUAUUGGAAGCUGAAGAAAAAGGAGCAUUUAGUUCUAUAUGGUGCUAAUUUUAAGGGUUUGAAGGAUAAAAAGCUUAGGAGUCAAUUGGUUGCUGAAGAGAAAUUAUAUGGAGAAUCUGUAAAAGCUGUUGGCAAGGCCGAGAAAGUUAAUUAUUUUUAAUUUGGUUUUCCUGUAUGCGUAAUUUAACUCGCCUUUAUUUUCAUUUUCUUUUAUGCAUCAUGAAGAGUGAAUUAUUUUAAAACGUUUUUUGUUGGAUGUUGCUGAUAAAGGAUAAUAAAAUGUGUGAAAUGUUUGAUGUGGUAUACUUCAUUGCAGAUUUCAGUUUGUGUUUCAUUACCUUCAUUACAGAGCAUGUGUGUUAUGUAGUGUUUUGGUAGUCCUCAAUCAUGGUAAGUUCGCAAGUGUGUGGAGGCCGACGUAGAUUUUAGCAAUAUAGACAUGCAUGUGUAUCCUCUAUGUUUCAUUCUUUCUUCUUUACAAGGAAGCUCUUCAAAAGAAUCUUAAACUUACCUGUCAAAAUUCAAACUUAGGCUGAGGCUUCCAACAAAAACUGUGAAAGGAUGAAGCACCCAAAUAGAUUCUAGAGAAUGGUAACAUGUUUUACACUUCAUGUAUGUUUUGAAAUUCGAAAUUCCCAAAAGCCAUAAUCUAGUACUCUCACCAUUUCCACUCAGCAACUUUUUAACCUCCAUAACCAUAUGCUCAACAGAACAAUAGUAGCUCCUUUUUUGCUCACAGUAACUUGACCAAAACUCAAACAACCAUUUCAAAUCACCUUCGGCAGUCAAAACACUCUCUCCUACAAUGACAGUGUUUCUUCUCCUCUUCACUAGAUCAUUCAACACACUAGUUACAUCAUCAUUGUUAACAUAUUCUCGCAGGAUCUACGUUUUGCGAUUUUCGCUUUUUUAGAUUUUAUUUUCAUGUUUAUACUUUUGAUUUUUACGUUUUUUUUGUUAUCUUGAUGAUAUUGAAGUUGUGAUUUGUUUGAUCUGUUUGCAGAUUGUGUUUUUUCUAGUUUGUUAGGGU